rnacentral:rRNA from 1 species
AUUGAACGCUGGCGGCAGGCCUAACACAUGCAAGUCGAGCGAGCGGCGGACGGGUGAGUAAUGUCUGGGAAACUGCCCGAUGGAGGGGGAUAACUACUGGAAACGGUAGCUAUUAUCGCAUACCCUAUGAUGUGCCCAGAUGGGGUUAGCUAGUGGGUGGGGUAAUGGCUCACCUAGGCGACGAUCCCUAGCUGGUCUGAGAGGAUGACCAGCCACACUGGAACUGAGACACGGUCCAGACUCCUACGGGAGGCAGCAGUGGGGAAUAUUGCACAAUGGGCGCAAGCCUGAUGCAGCCAUGCCGCGUGUGUGAAGAAGGCCUUCGGGUUGUAAAGCACUUUCAGCGGGGAGGCGUUACCCGCAGAAGAAGCACCGGCUAACUCCGUGCCAGCAGCCGCGGUAAUUC